GCUCGGAGGCACACCACCGGGCGGCGGGCACCGCCGCGCCCAGCCCAGCGCGCCCAGCCCAGCCCUCCCACCCCGCAAAACGCCGGCCGAAACUCGGCCACGCCGAGGAGCGCCGCCCGGGAAGAGCCUUUUACCGCUGGGCCCCGCCGGCGACCGCGGUCCCGCGUGUCGUGUCCCCGCUCUCCCCCCACGCCCCCUCGCCAUUCCCCUCAGAUGGAGAAACAGUCACACUUCCCUGGGAUCACACUGUGGGGUGAGUGGUGCAGCCAGGAUUAGAGCUCAAGACCUCCAAAACGUGCUGCCAUAUGGUCAGAGAUCUGGAGAGGAGACAACUGAAACGAUGAGCACUGAACACUUCUGCUUCCACUGCGUCUGGAGUACAAAAACCAGGCAGCCAUUUACUGGCUCCUGCUGCCAAUCGAUGGCCCAUGGAUAGGACAUGGUCUGCCAGAACAUCUCACAUCUACAGCCCAGCUUUAACCUCUCCAGCAGCAAUUGAUGUGCACAGUCCCAGCUGGGCGCUAAGGCACUCGGUGGGCCCUGCUGACUGCCUCUGUGCCAGAACUGCCUUGUUCACUUCUGGCAGUGGAAGCCAGGACUAGCUCUGCACACCAGGCAAGAGCUCCUCACCCACAGAGUGGGCUCCUGGCACCGCUCGCAGCUGGCAAGUCACUGCUGCUCAGUGCUGCAGCUACGGCUGCACAGGUGGGGGUCAGCGCCCACACAAGCAAACCUUUCAUCUCCCUUCCCACAGUAGAUGGAAGAGGGGCUAAGCAACUACACCCCUCUUAAGCUGAGGGAUGUAAGUCUAAAAGCACCCUCAGGGACAAUGACAGGAUAGUAUAUUGGAUCCAUUUUCUCUCCCAGAAUGAAAAGCCUUCAUUUGGCUUCACUGGGACUUGAUUUAGUCGUAAUUUGGAUGCAUCUAAGCCAGCAGACACCCUAAUCUCCUGGUUUGUCCCUCUCCCCUACAGGCUUCACCAGCAGCUGUUCUCCUUCCACGCUUCUGGGAAUUUUGGUCUUUGCUUCUCUCUAGACACCAAGACUUGCAUAUCUUCAAAA